rnacentral:tRNA from 1 species
AAAAAGUAGCUUAAACCCAAAGCAUCUGGCCUACAACCAGAACAUAUUGUCACAAUCUUUUUGA